rnacentral:lncRNA from 10 species
GUGCCAUUCCAUGAAGUCUAUAAGGAUACACUAUCUGAGGUCCACAGGGUAUUAGCUUGAUGAAUCAAAGAUGUUUGGAAUUUUUUUCUUAAAAACAAGAAGUAUUCCCAUGGGAGUGACAGGAUAUUUGAGAUGAAAGAUACAAAAAGAUACAUCCUAUAAACACAAUGGCAAUGCAUUCAUCUUCCAGCUAAGGAAUCCUCUUACAGAUGGCUCUUUUUUCCUGACCUCUUUUCCAUAGCCUCUCCAGACUAAGCAAGAGGCGGCCACUUGGGUCUCUUCCAAGGGUUCUUUCCUUUCUUGCCUGUUCUAAAGCCUUUUUAAUAAACUUCCACUCCUGCUCUAGAACUUGGCUUGGUCUCUUUUUCUGCUUUAUGCUCCUCAGUCAAACUCUUUCUUCUGAGGAGGCAAGGGCUGAAGUUGCUGCAGACACACACGGAUUCGCCGCUGGCAACUCAAGGUAACUUGGAUCUCUUCCACCGCUAACAAAAGGAGAAGGCUGUGGAUGUGCCGCAUUUGGAGUUUGCUGGCAUGGGGGAACCUCAGAGAAAAAGUCCACUGACCAGCAUGGGAGGAGACAUUUAACCAAGAUCACACAUAACAUGAGAGGCGGAUUUGGGGGCUAGUAAGUAGGGUCGUGCC